GGAGGAUUAGCUCAGCUGGGGAGAGCACCUGCCUUACAAGCAGGGGGUCGGCGGUUCGAUCCCGUCAUCCUCCACCA
rnacentral:tRNA from 1 species